rnacentral:rRNA from 1 species
ACGGGUGAGUAACGCGUGGGUAACCUACCCUGUACACACGGAUAACAUACCGAAAGGUAUGCUAAUACGGGAUAAUAUAUUUGAGAGGCAUCUCUUGAAUAUCAAAGGUGAGCCAGUACAGGAUGGACCCGCGUCUGAUUAGCUAGUUGGUAAGGUAACGGCUUACCAAGGCGACGAUCAGUAGCCGACCUGAGAGGGUGAUCGGCCACAUUGGAACUGAGACACGGUCCAAACUCCUACGGGAGGCAGCAGUGGGGAAUAUUGCACAAUGGGCGAAAGCCUGAUGCAGCAACGCCGCGUGAGUGAUGAAGGCCUUCGGGUCGUAAAACUCUGUCCUCAAGGAAGAUAAUGACGGUACUUGAGGAGGAAGCCCCGGCUAACUACGUGCCAGCAGCCGCGGUAAUACGUAGGGGGCUAGCGUUAUCCGGAUUUACUGGGCGUAAAGGGUGCGUAGGCGGUCUUUCAAGUCAGGAGUGAAAGGCUACGGCUCAACCGUAGUAAGCUCUUGAAACUGGGAGACUUGAGUGCAGGAGAGGAGAGUGGAAUUCCUAGUGUAGCGGUGAAAUGCGUAGAUAUUAGGAGGAACACCAGUUGCGAAGGCGGCUCUCUGGACUGUAACUGACGCUGAGGCACGAAAGCGUGGGGAGCAAACAGGAUUAGAUACCCUGGUAGUCCACGCUGUAAACGAUGAGUACUAGGUGUCGGGGGUUACCCCCUUCGGUGCCGCAGCUAACG